rfam:Gossypium arboreum cultivar AKA8401 contig_90957_1, whole genome shotgun sequence.
GUAUUUUUAGUUCAGUUCGGUAGAACAUGGGUCUCCAAAACCCAAUAUUGUAGGUUCAAAUCCUACAGAGCGUG